rnacentral:rRNA from 1 species
GAAUGCUGACAUAAGUAACGAUAAAGCGGGUGAAAAGCCCGCUCGCCGGAAGACCAAGGGUUCCUGUCCAACGUUAAUCGGGGCAGGGUGAGUCGACCCCUAAGGCGAGGCCGAAAGGCGUAGUCGAUGGGAAACAGGUUAAUAUUCCUGUACUUGGUGUUACUGCGAAGGGGGGACGGAGAAGGCUAUGUUGGCCGGGCGACGGUUGUCCCGGUUUAAGCGUGUAGGCUGAUUUUCCAGGCAAAUCCGGAAAAUCAAGGCUGAGGCGUGAUGACGAGGCACUACGGUGCUGAAGCAACAAAUGCCCUGCUUCCAGGAAAAGCCUCUAAGCAUCAGGUAACAUCAAAUCGUACCCCAAACCGACACAGGUGGUCAGGUAGAGAAUACCAAGGCGCUUGAGAGAACUCGGGUGAAGGAACUAGGCAAAAUGGUGCCGUAACUUCGGGAGAAGGCACGCUGAUAUGUAGGUGAAGCGACUUGCUCGUGGAGCUGAAAUCAGUCGAAGAUACCAGCUGGCUGCAACUGUUUAUUAAAAACACAGCACUGUGCAAACACGAAAGUGGACGUAUACGGUGUGACGCCUGCCCGGUGCCGGAAGGUUAAUUGAUGGGGUUAGCGGUAACGCGAAGCUCUUGAUCGAAGCCCCGGUAAACGGCGGCCGUAACUAUAACGGUCCUAAGGUAGCGAAAUUCCUUGUCGGGUAAGUUCCGACCUGCACGAAUGGCGUAAUGAUGGCCAGGCUGUCUCCACCCGAGACUCAGUGAAAUUGAACUCGCUGUGAAGAUGCAGUGUACCCGCGGCAAGACGGAAAGACCCCGUGAACCUUUACUAUAGCUUGACACUGAACAUUGAGCCUUGAUGUGUAGGAUAGGUGGGAGGCUUUGAAGUGUGGACGCCAGUCUGCAUGGAGCCGACCUUGAAAUACCACCCUUUAAUGUUUGAUGUUCUAACGUUGGCCCGUUAUCCGGGUUGCGGACAGUGUCUGGUGGGUAGUUUGACUGGGGCGGUCUCCUCCUAAAGAGUAACGGAGGAGCACGAAGGUUGGCUAAUCCUGGUCGGACAUCAGGAGGUUAGUGCAAUGGCAUAAGCCAGCUUGACUGCGAGCGUGACGGCGCGAGCAGGUGCGAAAGCAGGUCAUAGUGAUCCGGUGGUUCUGAAUGGAAGGGCCAUCGCUCAACGGAUAAAAGGUACUCCGGGGAUAACAGGCUGAUACCGCCCAAGAGUUCAUAUCGACGGCGGUGUUUGGCACCUCGAUGUCGGCUCAUCACAUCCUGGGGCUGAAGUAGGUCCCAAGGGUAUGGCUGUUCGCCAUUUAAAGUGGUACGCGAGCUGGGUUUAGAACGUCGUGAGACAGUUCGGUCCCUAUCUGCCGUGGGCGCUGGAGAACUGAGGGGGGCUGCUCCUAGUACGAGAGGACCGGAGUGGACGCAUCACUGGUGUUCGGGUUGUCAUGCCAAUGGCACUGCCCGGUAGCUAAAUGCGGAAGAGAUAAGUGCUGAAAGCAUCUAAGCACGAAACUUGCCCCGAGAUGAGUUCUCCCUGACUCCUUGAGAGUCCUGAAGGAACGUUGAAGACGACGACGUUGAUAGGCCGGGUGUGUAAG